AGCGAACGCUGGCGGCAGGCUUAACACAUGCAAGUCGAGCGGGCCCUUCGGGGUCAGCGGCAGACGGGUGAGUAACGCGUGGGAACGUGCCCUUCGGUUCGGAAUAACCCUGGGAAACUAGGGCUAAUACCGGAUACGCCCCUUGGGGGAAAGGUUUACUGCCGAAGGAUCGGCCCGCGUCUGAUUAGCUUGUUGGUGAGGUAACGGCUCACCAAGGCGACGAUCAGUAGCUGGUCUGAGAGGAUGAUCAGCCACACCGGGACUGAGACACGGCCCAGACUCCUACGGGAGGCAGCAGUGGGGAAUAUUGGACAAUGGGCGCAAGCCUGAUCCAGCCAUGCCGCGUGAGUGAUGACGGCCUUAGGGUUGUAAAGCUCUUUUGUCCGGGACGAUAAUGACGGUACCGGAAGAAUAAGCCCCGGCUAACUUCGUGCCAGCCGCCGCGGUAAUAC
rnacentral:rRNA from 1 species